rnacentral:rRNA from 1 species
UAUUUUAGUCUUGUUAGAGGAACCUGUUUUAUAAUCGAUAAACCACGUAUAUCUUACUUAUUUUAAAUAAUUUGUAUACCGUCAUUAUUAGAUAACUUUUAAAAAAUUAGUUAUUAAAAUUAAAAAAAAAAAUUAAAUAUAUUAGAUCAAGGUGCAGUUAAUAAAUAAGAAAAAAUGGGUUACAAUAAAAAUUUAUUUAAAACGAAUUAUAUAAAUGUAAAAAUAUAUGAAGGAGGAUUUAAUUGUAAUUUUUUUUUUAUAAAAUAAUAAUAUGAUAAUAGCUCUAAAAUAU